rnacentral:rRNA from 1 species
CCUACGGGAGGCAGCAGUGAGGAAUAUUGGUCAAUGGGCGAGAGCCUGAACCAGCCAAGUCGCGUGAAGGAUGAAGGCCCUACGGGUUGUAAACUUCUUUUGUCAGGGAGCAAUUGGGUCCACGCGUGGGCUUAGCGAGAGUACCUGAAGAAAAAGCAUCGGCUCACUCCGUGCCAGCAGCCGCGGUAAUACGGAGGAUGCGAGCGUUAUCCGGAUUUAUUGGGUUUAAAGGGUGCGUAGGCGGAACAUCAAGUCAUCGGGAAAAAUUCGGGGCUCAACCCCGUCGUGCCGUUGAAACUGUUGUUCUUGAGUGGGCGAGAAGUAUGCGGAAUGCGUGGUGUAGCGGUGAAAUGCAUAGAUAUCACGCAGAACUCCGAUUGCGAAGGCAGCAUACCGGCGCCCAACUGACGCUGAAGCACGAAAGCGUGGGUAUCGAACAGGAUUAGAUACCCCUGUAGUC